AAUACGUUCUCAUUCUAUAUAGCAAAUUAAAAGGUUUUUCUAGACGCUUUUGGUCGAAUUUCAUUAUACAUUUCGAUAACCUAAGUUUAGAGGCUAUAAAUUCGACUUCCCCAAUUUUGAAUUGAAAACUGGCAACAAAUAUAAUAUAUUUUAUUAUAUUAGCAACUUUUUAUCAACUUUAUUACGUUUUCAUUAUUUAUAACUAGCUAAUAGUUUUUUCUAGACGCUUUUGGAUGAAAUUCAUUCUAUAUUUCUCUUUAAAAAUAACAUAAGUUUGGAUGCAAUAAAGUUCGACUUGCCCAAUUUGAAUAGAGAAGUGUCACCAAAUAUAAUUCAUUUGAUUAAAUUAGCAACUUUAUAUCAUCAUUAGUACGUUCUUAUUCUAUAUAGACAAUUAAAAGGUUUUUCUAGACGCUUUUGGUCAAAUUUCAUUAUAAAUUUCGAUAACGUAAGUUUAGAGGCUAUAAAUUCGACUUCCUCAAUUUUGAAUUCAAAAGUGGCACCAAAUAUAAUUUAUUUGUCUAUAUUAGCAACUUUUUAUCAACUUUAUUACAUUUUCAUUAUUUAUAACUAAAUAGCAGUUUUUUCUAGACACUUUUGGAUGAAAUUUAUAGUAUAUUUCUCUUUAAAAAUAACAUCAGUUUAGAUGCAAUAAAGUUCAACUUGCCCAAGUUGAAUACAGAAGUGUCACCAAAUAUAAUUCAUUUGAAGAAAUUAGCUACUAUAUAUCAAUAUUAUUACGUUCUCAUUCUAUAUAGCCAAUUAAAAGGUUUUUCUAGACGCUUUUGGUCGAAUUUCAUUUUACAUUUCGAUAACGUAAGUUUAGAGGCUAUAAAUUCGACUUCCCCAAUUUUGAAUUCAAAAGUGGCACCAAAUAUAAUUUAUUUGAUUAUAUUAGCAACUUUUAAUCAACUUUAUUAUGUUUUCAUUAUUUAUAACUAACUAACAGUUUUUUAUAGACGCUUUUGGAGGAAUGUCAUUUUAUAUUUCUCUUUAAAAAUAACAUAAGUUUACACGCAAUAAAGUUCGACUUGCCCAAGUUGAAUACAGAAGUGUCACCAAAUAUAAUUCAUUUGAAGAAAUUAGCUACUUUAUAUCAAUAUUAUUACGUUCUCAUUCUAUAUAGCCAAUUAAAAGGUUUUUCUAGACGCUUUUGGUCGAAUUUCAUUUUACAUUUCGAUAACGUAAGUUUAGAGGCUAUAAAUUCGACUUCCCCAAUUUUGAAUUCAAAAGUGGCACCAAAUAUAAUUUAUUUGAUUAUAUUAGCAACUUUUUAUCAACUUUAUUACGUUUUCAUUAUUUAUAACUAACUAAAAGUUUUUUCUAGACGCUUUUGGAUGAAAUUCAUUCUAUAUUUCUCUUUAAAAAUAACAUAAGUUUAGAUGCAAUAAAGUUCGACUUGCCCAAUUUGAAUAGAGAAGUGUCACCAAAUAUAAUUCAUUUGAUUAAAUUAGCAACUUUAUAUCAACAUUAUUACGUUCUCAUUCUAUAUAGCCAAUUAAAACGUUUUUCUAGACGCUUUUGGUCGAAUUUCAUUAUACAUUUCGAUAACGUAAGUUUAGAGGCUAUAAAUUCGACUUCCCCAAUUUUGAAUUGAAAAGUGGCAACAAAUAUAAUUUAUUUGAUUAUAUUAGCAACUUUUUAUCAACUUUAUUACGUUUUCAUUAUUUAUAACUAACUAACAGUUUUUUCUAGACGCUUUUGGAGGAAAUUCAUUCUAUAUUUCUCUUUAUAAUAACAUAAUUUUAGAUGCAAUAAAGUUCGACUUGCCCAAUUUGCAUAGAGAAGUGUCACCAAAUAUAAUUCAUUUGAUUAAAUUAGCAACUUUAUAUCAACAUUAUUACGUUCUCAUUCUGUAUAGCUAAUUAAAACAUUUUUCUAGACGCUUUUGGUCAAAUUUCAUAAUACAUUUCGAUAACCUAAGUUUAGAGGCUAUAAAUUCGAAUUCCCCAAUUUUGAAUUCAAAAGUGGCAACAAAUAUAAUUUAUUUGAUUAUAGUAGCUACUUUUUAUCAACUUUAUUACGUUUUCAUUAUUUAUAACUAACUAAAAGUUUUUUCUAGAAGCUUUUGGAU
rnacentral:lncRNA from 1 species